GAUGAACGCUAGCUACAGGCUUAACACAUGCAAGUCGAGGGGCAGCAUGGUCUUAGCUUGCUAAGGCCGAUGGCGACCGGCGCACGGGUGAGUAACACGUAUCCAACCUGCCGUCUACUCUUGGACAGCCUUCUGAAAGGAAGAUUAAUACAAGAUGGCAUCAUGAGUCCGCAUGUUCACAUGAUUAAAGGUAUUCCGGUAGACGAUGGGGAUGCGUUCCAUUAGAUAGUAGGCGGGGUAACGGCCCACCUAGUCUUCGAUGGAUAGGGGUUCUGAGAGGAAGGUCCCCCACAUUGGAACUGAGACACGGUCCAAACUCCUACGGGAGGCAGCAGUGAGGAAUAUUGAUCAAUGGGCGCAGGCCUGAACCAGCCAAGUAGCGUGAAGGAUGACUGCCCUAUGGGUUGUAAACUUCUUUUAUAAAGGAAUAAAGUCGGGUAUGUAUACCCGUUUGCAUGUACUUUAUGAAUAAGGAUCGGCUAACUCCGUG
rnacentral:rRNA from 1 species